GGAUGAACGCUAGCGGCAGGCUUCAUACAUGCAAGUCGAGGGGCAGCAUAAAUUACUUGUAAUUUGAUGGCGACCGGCGAACGGGUGCGUAACGCGUAUGCAACUUACCUUUUACUAGAGAAUAGCCAAGAGAAAUUUUGAUUAAUGCUCUAUACACUUUAAGACUCUCAUGAGUCUAAAAGAAAAGCUCCGGCGGUAAAAGAUGGGCAUGCGUUCUAUUAGCUUGUAGGUGAGGUAACGGCUCACCUAAGCUCCGAUAGAUAGGGGUCCUGAGAGGGAGACCCCCCACACUGGUACUGAGACACGGACCAGACUUCUACGGAAGGCAGCAGUAAGGAAUAUUGCGCAAUGGAGGCAACUCUGACGCAGCCAUGCCGCGUGCAGGAUUGAAGGCCUUAUGGGUCGUAAACUGCUUUUAUUUAGGAAUAAACUUUCGUACGUGUACGAAACUGAAGGUAGUAUAUGAAUAAGGACCGGCUAACUCCGUGCCAGCAGCCGCGGUAAUACGGAGGGUCCGAGCGUUAUCCGGAUUUAUUGGGUUUAAAGGGUGCGCAGGCGGUACAAUAAGUCAGUGGUGAAAUCCCGAGGCUCAACCUCGGAACUGCCAUUGAUACUGUUGUACUCGAGUAUAGACGAAGUAGGCGGAAUGUAGCAUGUAGCGGUGAAAUGCUUAGAUAUGCUACAGAACACCGAUUGCGAAGGCAGCUUACUAGACUAUUACUGACGCUAAUGCACGAAAGCGUGGGGAGCGAACAGGAUUAGAUACCCUGGUAGUCCACGCCGUAAACUAUGAUCACUCGAUGUUGGCGAUACACAGUCAGUGUCUAAGGGAAACCGAUAAGUGAUCCACCUGGGGAGUACGAUCGCAAGGUUGAAACUCAAAGGAAUUGACGGGGGCCCGCACAAGCGGAGGAGCAUGUGGUUUAAUUCGAUGAUACGCGAGGAACCUUACCUAGACUCAAAUGUAAGUUGACAGUUUCUGAAAGGGAUUUUUCUUCGGACAAUUUACAAGGUGCUGCAUGGUUGUCGUCAGCUCGUGCCGUGAGGUGUCGGGUUAAGUCCCAUAACGAGCGCAACCCCUACUCUUAGUUGCCAGCAUGUAAUGAUGGGGACUCUAGGAGAACUGCCUACGCAAGUAGAGAGGAAGGUGGGGAUGACGUCAAAUCAGCACGGCCCUUACGUCCAGGGCUACACACGUGCUACAAUGGCCGGUACAGAGGGCAGCCACCUGGUGACAGGGAGCGAAUCUCUAAAGCCGGUCUCAGUUCGGAUCGAAGUCUGCAACCCGACUUCGUGAAGCUGGAAUCGCUAGUAAUCGCGCAUCAGCCAUGGCGCGGUGAAUACGUUCCCGGGCCUUGUACACACCGCC
rnacentral:rRNA from 1 species